AUUGAACGCUGGCGGCAGGCUUAACACAUGCAAGUCGAGCGAGCGGCGGACGGGUGAGUAAUGUCUGGGAAACUGCCUGAUGGAGGGGGAUAACUACUGGAAACGGUAGCUAAUACCGCAUAGCAUCAGAUGUGCCCAGAUGGGCUUAGCUAGUAGGGGGGGUAAUGGCUCAGCUAGGCGACGAGCCCUAGCUGGUCUGAGAGAAUGACCGGCCACACUGGAGCUGAGCCAGGGUCCAGACUCCGACGGGAGGGAGCAGUGGGGAACAUUGCACAAUGGGCGCAAGCCUGAUGCAGCCAGGCCGCGUGUGAGAAGAAGGCCUUCGGGUUGUAAAGCACUUUCAGCGAUGAGGCGUUACUCGCAGAAGAAGCACCGGCUAACUCCGUGCCAGCAGCCGCGGUAAUAC
rnacentral:rRNA from 1 species